rnacentral:rRNA from 1 species
UACGUAGGGUGCGAGCGUUGCCCGGAUUUAUUGGGCGUAAAGGGCGCGCAGGCGGCUACGCACGUCCGUUGUGAAAUCGCUCGGCUCAACUGGGCGGGGUCAGCGGAUACGGCGUAGCUGGAGCAAGCUAGGGGGCAAUGGAAUUCCCGGUGUAGUGGUGGAAUGCGUAGAUAUCGGGGAGGAACACCAGUGGCGAAGGCGGUUGCCUGGAGCUUUGCUGACGCUGAGGCGCGAAAGCGUGGGGAGCGAACAGG